rnacentral:rRNA from 1 species
UACAGAGGUCUCAAGCGUUUGUUCGGAUUCAUUGGGCGUAAAGGGUGCGUAGGUGGCGCGGUAAGUCGGGUGUGAAAUUUCGGGAGCUUAACUCCGAAACUGCAUUCGAUACUGCCGUGCUUGAGGACUGGAGAGGAGACUGGAAUUUACGGUGUAGCAGUGAAAUGCGUAGAUAUCGUAAGGAAGACCAGUGGCGAAGGCGGGGUCUCUGGGCUGACACUGACGCUCAUGCACGAAAGCGUGGGGAGCAAACAGG